AUGUAUGAGAAGAUGAAUGAAGAAAAGAAAGUUCCGGUGAUGUUGUAACGUUCAGGCGGUGAACAUAGUCUGGGAAAACGAGUUAAAGAAGCAAGGGACGUUUCGUAUUUCCGUCGAGGAUGCUGACAU
rfam:Arabidopsis thaliana chromosome 3, complete sequence.